UACAGAGGUCUAAAGCGUUGUUCGGAUUCAUUGGGCGUAAAGGGUGCGUAGGCGGCGCGGUAAGUCGGGUGUGAAAUCUUGGAGCUUAACUCCGAAACUGCAUUCGAUACUGCCGUGCUUGAGGACUGGAGAGGAGACUGGAAUUUACGGUGUAGCGGUGAAAUGCGUAGAUAUCGUAAGGAAGACCAGUGGCGAAGGCGGGUCUCUGGACAGUUCCUGACGCUGAGGCACGAAGGCCAGGGGAGCAAACGGG
rnacentral:rRNA from 1 species